rnacentral:rRNA from 1 species
UACGAAGGGGGCUAGCGUUGUUCGGAAUUACUGGGCGUAAAGCGCACGUAGGCGGGUAUUUAAGUCAGGGGUGAAAUCCCAGAGCUCAACUCUGGAACUGCCUUUGAUACUGGGUACCUAGAGUAUGGAAGAGGUAAGUGGAGUUCCGAGUGUAGAGGUGAAAUUCGUAGAUAUUCGGAGGAACACCAGUGGCGAAGGCGGCUUACUGGUCCAUUACUGACGCUGAGGUGCGAAAGCGUGGGGAGCAAACAGG